rnacentral:lncRNA from 13 species
AGGCAGUAUUAUGUGGUGUGAUCCAGGCAGUAUUAUAUGUGUUGCGUUUUGUUGUGUGUGUGUGUGUGUGUGUGUUGCGUUUUGUGUGUGUUGCAUGUUGUAUAUGCGCACAUGUGUGUUGCUGAUAAGUUGCUUCCUGGCUGAGUUGCUUUCUGUUUAUCAAGCACCUCAUUCAUCCCUCCAUCCUCUCCUCCUCUUCUCCUCGUGCAUCCGUCACAUGAUACUGCCUCAUCACAAUCACAGCCAUGAGUGGUCAGCAGCGUCCAAUGAUGUCAUAUCCUGUCCCAGUAGUUCAAAGUUAAAAAAGCUUAAUGUCCAACGAAGGGUUACACAAAGGAAGUGUCCAAAAUGGCACCCUAUUUCCUAUUUAGUGCACUACUUUUAACCAGGGCCUUGGCACCCUAUUCCUUAUUUAGUGCACUACUUUUAACCAGAGCCUUGGCACCCUAUUCCCUAUUUAGUGCACUACUUUUGACCAGGGCCUUGGCACCCUAUUCCUUAUUUAGUGCACUACUUUUGACCAGAGCCUAUGGCACCCUAUUCCCUACACAGCGCACUACUUUCGACCAGGGCCCAUAAUUCGGCUGCCUUUUGGGAUGCAAACAGACAGCCUCAAACAUCAUCCGAUCCCCACAUCAGCCCUACGUCAUUCUCAUCCCUCUUCUGUCUUCACGCUUCGCUCCUCAUAUCCUUUCACAACGUUUGUUUUGAAAAUGAAAGGAGUUGAAAAGGGGUUUUAUUUCUGUAGCUCUUUGUCUUUAGUAGAGUAUUUACUGCCUUAGUGCCUCUGGCCGUUUGAUCUGGCCCCUCCAGCCCUGGGGGUGGGGAGGGGGUGACGUGGCUGGGUUUACCCGAUUCAGGAGCCUCCUGGCUGGGGAGGGCUCAGACCAGGCCAGCCUCCCUACACAUCAGGUAGAACUGACCUCUCUCUGAGAUGAGGUUGGAGGGAGAGUCCAUCUCUGUGAUCAGACCUCGGUCCAUCACUAUCACCCUGCAGAGAGGGNNNNNNNNNNUGUCUGUUCCUCAUUUGCAGCUGCUGUUGGUAACUCAACGGCUAGGAGGUAUCACUUCUGUAGUGAAUAAGAGUUCAAAGUUCAUACCAUUCGCAACCAAAGCUCACGCUGAUGUUGGCUUCGUUCUUUAGUUAUUAUCUGAACCAUUCUGACAUCGGACCGUCGUCAUGGGCUUAUAUAGGAAGGGAGAGGAGGGCGUGUUUGAAAAGUUUUAUAGCCCAUGUCCCUUCACAGGGGCGGGCCACUGAUUGAGCAGAAAACCUUAUGAAAACC